rnacentral:misc_RNA from 1 species
GUUUUUGUGGCCAUGACUGCAAAAUACAAGAACAACUUGUCAAAGUCAGAUAGCAUCUGUUAAGAAUUGCUGUUCAGUUGCUUUUGACUUUGGCAAAAGCACCACUUGGAUUAAUUGACCAAACACAACCAACGGCUGCUCUUGGCAUUUUUUUCUCUGGGUGCAUAUGAGGGCUCAAGCUUGACUAAGAGACACAAGAUUAAGGCAGACCCACUCAAUCCUUCAAACGAAUAUAAGAAAAAGGUCCAAUGAACAGCCAAACUGCCAAUACCAUUCUCG